rnacentral:rRNA from 1 species
AUUGAACGCUGGCGGCAGGCCUAACACAUGCAAGUCGAGCGGAUGAAGGGAGCUUUCUCCUGGAUUCAGCGGCGGACGGGUGAGUAAUGCCUAGGAAUCUGCCUGGUAUUGGGGGAUAACGUCCGUAAACGGGCGCUAAUACCGCAUACGUCCUGAUGGUGAAAGUGGGGGAUCUUCGGACCUCACGCUAUCAGAUGACCCUAGGUCGGAUUAGCUAGUUGGUUGGGUAACGGCCUACCAAGGCGACGAUCCGUAACUGGUCUGAGAGGAUGAUCAGCCACACUGGAACUGAGACACGGUCCAGACUCCUACGGGAGGCAGCAGUGGGGAAUAUUGGACAAUGGGCGAAAGCCUGAUCCAGCCAUGCCGCGUGUGUGAAGAAGGUCUUCGGAUUGUAAAGCACUUUAAGUUGGGAGGAAGGGCAGUAAGUUAAUACCUUGCUGUUUUGACGUUACCAACAGAAUAAGCACCGGCUAACUUCGUG